ACCUGGCUGGCUCAGUUGGUGGAGCAUGAGACUCUUAAUCUUGGGGUUGUGAGUUUGAGCCCCUCAUUGGGUA
rnacentral:tRNA from 1 species